CCUACGGGAGGCAGCAGUGGGGAAUCUUGCGCAAUGGGGGCAACCCUGACGCAGCCAUGCCGCGUGAAUGAUGAAGGCCUUAGGGUUGUAAAGUUCUUUUGCCCGUGACGAUGAUGACGGUAACGGGAGAAUAAGCUCCGGCUAACUUCGUGCCAGCAGCCGCGGUAAUACGAAGGGGGCUAGCGUUGUUCGGAAUUACUGGGCGUAAAGCGCGCGCAAGCGGUUCGAUAAGUUAGGGGUGAAAUCCCUGGGCUCAACCCAGGAAUGGCCUUUAAGACUGUCGAGCUAGAGGACGAGAGAGGUGAGUGGAAUUCCCAGUGUAGAGGUGAAAUUCGUAGAUAUUGGGAAGAACACCGGUGGCGAAGGCGGCUCACUGGCUCGUUUCUGACGCUGAGGCGCGAAAGCGUGGGGAGCAAACAGGAUUAGAUACCCUGGUAGUCCACGCCCUAAACGAUGAGUGCCAGGUGUCGGGAAGCUUAGCUUCUCGGCGCCGCAGCUAACGCCUUAAGCACUCCGCCUGGGGAGUACGGCCGCAAGGUUAAAACUUAAGGAAUUGACG
rnacentral:rRNA from 1 species